GGUGACUCGGUGUGGGGUGUAAUAAGCCCGGUUGAGCGCAAUACUUGGGGAAAUCUUAUUUGGUUCAUGCUAAGGGAGCCAUGUUACAAGUACAAAUACAUCUACAAUCUUCAUCGGUCUUAAUUGGAACAUGUUAAGGGAGCCAUGUUAACAACUACAAAUACAUUCUCCAAUGGUCUUGAUUGAUACAUAUUAAGGGAACCAUGUUACUUGUGCUAAUAUAUGUACAUUAACGGACACAUACCAUGUUACUACAAAGGAGUUUUGAAGUUUUUAA